AGACUUUAUUAUGGAAAAUGUCAUCCAAGUUUAGGAAUCCAGCUAUUUAGAAUUGGCAAAAUUCAGUUGUUCAUGGGACGUUUGAAUGUUGCUGAGAAAACACUUUUUCAGGCUGAAGAGGUGAUAACUGUUACUCAUGGCACUAAACAUCCUAUUUAUCAAGACCUGUUGGAACUGAUUCAUCAAUGCCAAGAAGAACUAAAAGUUAGAGAAGAAAAAAGAUCUCAAUGAAAAACGUUAAACAAGAUCAUCUGAAUACCUACAAAUUAAGCUGUUCAAAAGUUAAAGUAUAACAUUAUAAAUUAAGGUUUUGCAGACUGCAGGAAAUAAUUAUAUGUAAUAACAAUUUGCCAUAUAAGCUGAUAUAUAGCAAAACACAUGUUAACUGUAAAUAUACACUUCACUUCAGUAAGCAUUUGAAACUGUCUAAUCUUUAUCACAGAAUCUCUGUGUGACAGAAAGUAACCUUUUGAGAUGUAAAGCAACACUAAACAGGCUUUGUUUUGUAACUUUUCCUUAACACAGGUGAACAUUAGUGUUUUAUUAAACCUUUAAGUAAUGUUUCACAUAUUGCCACUGAAAGUGUUUAGUGAAUACAUAAUUGUAUAUAACUUAAUUAAUUCACACUAAGGUUUGUCGAUGGCUUUAUACUGAUACAUAUCUUAAACAGAUAUUUUUAAAUAUGUAAUGUUUCAGCAUCAAAAUGCACUAAUAAGAUUGUCAUCUUUCAAUGGAAUUUACACUCAAAUAUGUUAAGUUAUAUAGCAGGUUCGUCACCAUCAUUCAUAAAGAUUGGGAAAUUAAGCCUAGUUAAGUUUAAUCCUAAUAUUGGACAUUGCAUUGUGCCCAAAUGGAAACCACUAAAUGCAACUAUACUGUAUCAGUUUUAAAUUAAACCAAAGUAAAAAGGAAUGAACAUUAGAGGGAUUAGAAAGUGCAGUUUUCAAGUGUUAGGAAAUCAAAAAAUUAGACUUACCACAGAGAAAAAAACAACUAGAAGCUUAAUUUAAGAAUGUGUAUUAACAAAUUAAACAGAGAACUGAAGAAACUCAUUGUAGAGAACUGUUUAUAAUUAAGAAUAAUUAAGUUCAUUAAAACCUUUAAAAGAUAAUUAACAGGAAUUGUACUGUUUAUAUCUAUAAGAUGAGCAGAAUUGUGUUAAAAUUUCAAAUUUAAUAAUAACUGUCGCACAUCUUAAACACUGGUAUUUUAGCAUUGUAAAUUAGAGCCGAAACUUCCCACUGACCCUCUGAGGGACUGGACUGUUGGUACAGCAGGAAAUGAAAUACAUUUAGUUAUGCUGUAAUCAGAAGCAGAUAUGCUAACUUUGUUGAUGAGAUGUUCUUUACGAACAACCACCUACUUUGAAUUUUUUUUUUUUCUGCUAAAUGCAAAUAGUUUUCUUUUAAUUUUUCAAUUUGAAAGUAAUGCAGCACUGCCACAAAUAUUAGUUAAAGAUAGUUUAAGAAAGUAUUAAACAAGAAUGAAACAAGACGCUGCAUUUAUAGAUUUGAAAUAGACUGAUCUAUCGUAAUGUAACAUUUCGCAAGGAAUGUUUUUGUAUAUGGAAAAUUUCCUUUUGUAAGUUUUUCAGUGCUAUUCAAUUAUAUUGCAAUAUUUUUUUCCUCUGUGGCUCAUCAUUUUCACUGUAUGUGCUUAUUCUACCACUUGAUGAAUCACUUGUUAGAAAAAUGUAUUAAUAGCAGUAGUAGAGAUAAUUAGAUUUUUUUUUGUUAUUAUAUACCUAUGUUUGUUAGAUUUGGAAUACAAAAAUCCUCAAACAUUUUUAUAAAUUUUAGGCUAGCAUAUAAAUAAUGCAUACUUGUUUGUGUUGUUGUACUGUGGUGAUUUUGUAAUUUUUUAUAGG
rnacentral:lncRNA from 1 species